UGUUCAGUUUUACAGAUAUAAUGAAGGGUACAUUCAGCGUGUCUGUCAGUCUGUUGCUGCUGUGUGUUUUGUGGGGUGACAGUCAGCCUGUACACACUGCUGCUCACACUGUCAGAGAGAUGAUAGAGCUCCUGAGAGCGAUGACUCCAGUCAAUGAGCAGGAGGAUCAGGACACAGAGCUGAUGGACUCUCCCGAGGUUCUGUGGCCUAAUACUGAGGAUCUGGAGAAAAGAAACCUGCCACGUCUAGGAGUAGCAAUACAUAGGGCUUUACCCUCAAGAGUCCACAGCAGUAAGUCCGUAGAUGCAUCUAGAUAUCGUUUGUCUUCUCCAGCUAAGUGGAUGUCCAGUCUCCAAGGUUGAAGAAUAGUAAUUGUUUGAUUCAUCUGUCUCAAAAAUGCUUGAAGGUUUACACACAACUCUCAUCCGCAUGAAGAACUCAUUGUUAGACAAUAAAUAAAAGGAGUUACAAAAUAUA